rnacentral:rRNA from 1 species
CAUGGCUCAGGAUGAACGCUGGCGGCGUGCCUAAUACAUGCAAGUAGAACGCUGAAGGAGGAGCUUGCUCUUCUGGAUGAGUUGCGAACGGGUGAGUAACGCGUAGGUAACCUGCCUGGUAGCGGGGGAUAACUAUUGGAAACGAUAGCUAAUACCGCAUGACAACAGUUAUUGCAUGAUAACUGUUUAAAAGGGGCAACUGCUCCACUACCAGAUGGACCUGCGUUGUAUUAGCUAGUUGGUGAGGUAACGGCUCACCAAGGCGACGAUACAUAGCCGACCUGAGAGGGUGAUCGGCCACAUUGGGACUGAGACACGGCCCAAACUCCUACGG